rnacentral:rRNA from 1 species
GAUGAACGCUGGCGGCGUGCCUAAUACAUGCAAGUCGAGCGAACGGACGAGCAUCUUGCUUCUCUGAUGUUAGCGGCGGACGGGUGAGUAACACGUGGAUAACCUACAUAUAAGACUAGGAUAACUUCGGGAAACCGGAGCUCACACCCGAUGAUAUUGUGAACCGCAGGGUUCAAAAGUGAAAGACGGUCUUGAGGUCCCGUAUAGAUGGAUCCGCGCUGCAUUAGCUAGUUGGUAAGGUAACGGCUUACCAAGGCGACGAUGCAUAGCCGACCUGAGAGGGUGAUCGGCCACACUGGAACUGAGACACGGUCCAGACUCCUACGGGAGGCAGCAGUAGGGAAUCUUCCGCAAUGGGCGAAAGCCUGACGGAGCAACGCCGCGUGAGUGAUGAAGGUCUUCGGAUCGUAAACCUCUGUUAUUAGGGAAGAACAUAUGUGUAAGUAUCUGUGCACGUCUUGACGGUACCUAAUCAGAAAGCCCCGGCUAACUACGUG